rnacentral:rRNA from 1 species
UACAGAGGCCUCGAGCGUUAGGCGGAAUCACUGGGCUUAAAGCGUGUGUAGGCGGACUUCUAAGUACCUUGUGAAAUCCCACGGCUCACCCGUGGAACUGCUCGGUAUACUGGUCGUCUUGAGCCUUCUAGGGGCGAGUGGAACAAAUGGUGGAGCGGUGAAAUGCGUAGAUAUCAUUUGGAACGCCAAUGGUGAAAACAACUCGCUGGGGAAGUGCUGACGCUGGAGACACGGAAAGCCCAGGGGAGCGAAACGGGA